rnacentral:rRNA from 1 species
UACAGAGGGGGGCAAGCGUUAUUCGGAAUUAUUGGGCGUAAAGGGCGCGUAGGCGGCGAUUCAAGUGGCGGGUGAAAUCCCUCGGCUUAACCGAGGAACUGCCUGUCAGACUGGGUUGCUUGAGACCGGGAGAGGCGAGUGGAAUUCCCAGUGUAGCGGUGAAAUGCGUAGAUAUUGGGAGGAACACCAGUGGCGAAGGCGGCUCGCUGGACCGGAACUGACGCUGAGGCGCGAAAGCGUGGGGAGCAAACAGG